AACGAACGCUGGCGGCAUGCCUAACACAUGCAAGUCGAACGAGACCUUCGGGUCUAGUGGCGCACGGGUGCGUAACGCGUGGGAAUCUGCCCUUGGGUUCGGGAUAACAGUUGGAAACGACUGCUAAUACCGGAUGAUGACUUCGGUCCAAAGAUUUAUCGCCCAGGGAUGAGCCCGCGUCGGAUUAGCUAGUUGGUGAGGUAAGAGCUCACCAAGGCGACGAUCCGUAGCUGGUCUGAGAGGAUGAUCAGCCACACUGGGAUUGAGACACGGCCCAGACUCCUACGGGAGGCAGCAGUGGGGAAUAUUGGACAAUGGGCGAAAGCCUGAUCCAGCAAUGCCGCGUGAGUGAUGAAGGCCUUAGGGUUGUAAAGCUCUUUUACCCGGGAUGAUAAUGACAGUACCGGGAGAAUAAGCCCCGGCUAACUCCGUG
rnacentral:rRNA from 1 species